rnacentral:rRNA from 1 species
UACGUAGGGUGCAAGCGUUGUCCGGAAUCAUUGGGUCGUAAAGAGCGCGUAGGCGGCUCGUUAAGUGUAGAGUGAAAUCUCUGGGCUCACCCCAGAAACUGCUCUGCAUACUGGCGAGCUGGAGUGAUGAAGAGGUUGUGGAAUUCCUGGCGUAACGGUGAAAUGUGUUGAGUAUCAGGAGGAACACCCAUGGCGAAGGCAGCAAACUGGUCAUCAACUGACGCUGAGGCGCGAAAAGCGUGGGUAGCAAACAGGA